GCCAAAGAUAUCAGAUUCAAACCAUUCAAUACCCAUUGCAAUCAAGCAAUUACCACAAACAUAUAACCCCCCCCCCCCUAUGUAUAAUCCCACCAUCCAUAUUUACUCGGGCGAUUCCGAAUAUAAGCCACCUCUAAUGUAAGCCCCUCGACAGGUAUUUAUUAGUGCAGCGAGGGCCAGGAAUCCAACAGCUCAGUCCAUCAAAAAUGCUUACAAAGUACAAAGAAAUAUAAGUUAGCCCAGGGCUUAUAUUCAGAGGUUUACAAUAUUCAUCUGGCCAAACAUACUGUAGUUCUAUAAAUCCCACAGUCAUUAGAGUUGUAGUUCUAAAAGUAUUUGUAGGAAUAAAAGGUGUACAGUACAUGUAUCAGCCACCUUGGCAUUGACCAAAAUUAUGCCCUGACAAUUAAACAAUUUUAAAUUGAUUGAUGACAUGUUUGAGAGCAGCUUCAGUGGUGGUGUCCCCAGUAUUGGAGUAGAGCCCAACAUUUCAGUUAGACAUUCCUUGUGAACCUUAGAUCAGUUGUGAUAUAUUGUAAUGUAAAAUGAAACUUUGGGAGUUAAGAAACACAAUUAAUGCAUUAAUGGACAAGGCUGUCCCCUUGAGAAGUAAAAUUGCCUGCCAUUAGAUGGUCUGAAAGUAAAAUAACAAGCUUGGGUGCAUGGCAGCCUAAUGGGUUAACUUAAUAGUUGGCUGCAAUUACCUGUUGUAGGCUUUAAAGUUGGUUUCAAACUAGGGCUUGUAAAUGCCAGAACUCAUAUGUGAAAAAUUGCACGAGUCAAUUUAUCUGACAUACCAUAAUGAACCAUUAGGUUGCAUUGCAUCCUACUUUAUUAUGUUACUUUGUCUAAGUGUCUAACACUGACAAUUUUACUCGUCAACAGGAGAGUGCUGGCACUCAAUGGGUUAACAUAUAAAUGUCUAUCUGAACAGUUGGGUUUGGGUUCUUCUCUAAAGUAAAUUUCCCUGUAGUCAGAUUGUGGGAUAUGUGACUCAAUAUUUCUUCAAAGUGUGUUCCAAUGAUAUGUAAUGUCACUAUUUUAUAAGCAUAAUGGACAUUUCUCAUUCAGGGUGAUGUAAGUCAUGUGGAAAAGAGAUUAAUACAAGUUUGAAUGUUCAAAUCGCAAGAGUAGUGGUGUAGUGUUACACUAGCACUUGCCAGACCUAAUUGGCAGAACUAACAAUGACUUUUCUCUAUAACUUUGUGGAUCAAAACCUGGAACAGCGAAAGAAUAGCCUAUGGAGCUACAAAGUUAUAAUAAUACUCUAUUACAUGUAACUUGAUUGUAUAGUUAGGUUUAAUAAUUAUUAAUUUAAAAUAAUACAAAAUUAAUCAAGAUUUUGCAUCUUUAAUUUUCAAACAUGUUGCUUGGUACUCAGUUUCAAUAACAAUGUCAGUAGCAUGCAUUCAUUGUUGGAAAUUUCUGCGUCUCUAUUGUUUUGACAAUAUUGUCAUGACUAAUUUUGUUGUUUUGACUUUAUUUUGAUCAAGUCAGUCUGGUUAGUGUUUUAUAUAGCCACAAAAUAUCCUCCCAGUAUAACUGAGAUGUUGCUUGUUCAAGUGAGAUGUUGCCUUCUUCAAGUGAGAUCUCUCUGAGCCAGUCAGGUUGUCCAUACAAAUUGAAAGGAAUUUCCACUAUAAAAAUAUUAAAAUAACCACACAGUGAGGUCUCGCUUACUGGGCUAGCUGUCCGCAUUAACAGCCCAUAACCUCAGGGACAGAAAGAUGGCAGUACUAGAAACAAUUUAAAGGGGCAGCACUGUCACAGCGCUGAUUGGCUAAAAUAAACAACGCAAAGACAUGUUUAAAAUUAAUGCUACAUGAUUGGAAGAUGCAGCAGCCUUCAAUUUUUAAAACAAAGCAAGGAUGUCCUGCAUAACGAAGGGAUUAUAAAUAGUAUAUCGCAUUUCACUCCUAACUUGACUAAUUGUUGUCAGAAUUUUUUCAAGUUCGCGCAUAUUUUGGAUGCGCAGCAGAACCAUGACACUGCCCCUUUGAUAACUUAAUAUACACAUGCAACAAACUAUCAGAGAGGACAUAAACUACAAUCCUAGAUAUAAAACAUGCCUUCUCACUUCUCAGAUCAGCUUCCCCUAGCAGCUGAGCUCUGUCCUGCACCAGUCCACCACAAGCUCAUGAUGCCUAACAAAACCCUUGACUAAAUAUGUAAAACCUUAAUUCCCAAUUUAAUAUACUAGCACAUCAUAGUUUCAUCUCUUGAUAUACCUGUACUGUGCAAC
rnacentral:lncRNA from 1 species